AAUCUACUCCCUCCGUUCGGAAUUACUUGUCUCGAAUAUGGAUGUAUCUAGAACUAAAAUACGUCUAGAUACAUCCAUAUCCGAGACAAGUAAUUCCGAACAGAGGGAGUAUGUU
rnacentral:pre_miRNA from 1 species